AUUGAACGCUGGCGGCAUGCCUUACACAUGCAAGUCGAACGGCAGCACAGUAAGAGCUUGCUCUUACGGGUGGCGAGUGGUGGACGGGUGAGGAAUACAUCGGAAUCUACUUUUUCGUGGGGGAUAACGUAGGGAAACUUACGCUAAUACCGCAUACGACCUACGGGGGAAAGCAGGGGAUCUUCGGACCUUGCGCGAUUGAAUGAGCCGAUGUCGGAUUAGCUAGUUGGCGGGGUAAAGGCCCACCAAGGCGACGAUCCGUAGCUGGUCUGAGAGGAUGAUCAGCCACACUGGAACUGAGACACGGUCCAGACUCCUACGGGAGGCAGCAGUGGGGAAUAUUGGACAAUGGGCGCAAGCCUGAUCCAGCCAUACCGCGUGGGUGAAGAAGGCCUUCGGGUUGUAAAGCCCUUUUGUUGGGAAAGAAAUCCAGCCGGCUAAUACCUGGUUGGGAUGACGGUACCCAAAGAAUAAGCACCGGCUAACUUCGUGCCAGCCGCCGCGGUAA
rnacentral:rRNA from 1 species